rnacentral:rRNA from 1 species
AUUGAACGCUGGCGGCAGGCCUAACACAUGCAAGUCGAGCGGAGCGACGGACGGGUGCGUAAUGCCUAGGAAUCUGCCUGGUCGUUGGGGAUAGCGUCCGGAAACGGGCGCUAAUACCGCCUACUACCAGAUGAGCCUAGGUCGGAUUAGCUAGUUGGUGGGGUAAAGGCCUACCAAGGCGCCGAUCCGUCACUGGUCUGAGAGGAUGAUCAGUCACACUGGAACUGAGACACGGUCCAGAUUCCUACGGGAGGCAGCAGUGGGGAAUAUUGGACAAUGGGCGAAAGCCUGAUCCAGCCAUGCCGCGUGUGUGAAGAAGGUCUUCGGAUUGUAAAGCACUGUAAGUUGGGAGGCGUUACCAACAGAAGAAGCACCGGCUAACUUCGUGCCAGCAGCCGCGGUAAUAC